rnacentral:lncRNA from 1 species
UACAUAGCCCAACUUUGAAUAUACAUAUAACAUAAGUAUAUAUAUAAAUAUAUGAAGCAUGUAAUAUAGAUGUAUAUAUAAAUAUAUAAAAUGAUAGUAUUUUAAUUUUGAUUUGUCGGUUCGGUUCUAAUGGAUCACAUAGGUCAAUAAACCAAUAAUCAAAUUGAAAUAUCGAUUUUUCUAUUUUAUUCAACCAAAUCGAACCAGUUAAACUGUCAAAUCAUUAUAUUUGAUUCGGUUUGGACGGUUUAGGUGGUUUAAUCGAAAUUUUUUACACCCCUACCUCCGGAUGAUUUCGUGAGGUUGGCCUCUGGAUGACUUCAUGAGGUCGGUCUCCUUGUAAGGUCGACCUCCGGAUGACUUCGUGAGGUUGGCCUCGUGAGGUCAGCCUCCAGAUGAUUUCAUGAGGUCGGUCUCUAGAUGACUUUAUGAGGUCGGCCUCCUUGUGAGAUCAGCCUCCGGAUGACUUCAUGAGGUCGACCUCCGAUGAUGAUAUCGGUCUCCUCGUGACGUCGUCCCUUAGAUGACUUUGUGAGGUUGGCCUCCUCGUGAGGUCGGCCUCCGGAUGACUUCAUGAGGUCGUCCUUGUGAUGAUGUCAGCCUCUUUGUGAGAUCGGCCUCUGAAUGACUUCAUGAGGUCGGUCUCCGGAUGAUUUCAUAAAGUCGGCUAAGCGAUGAGAAUCUACCCUAACACUUGCUUUCCAACUCUCGAGCUCGAUUGCAUAGCUUUAAUUGGACGAAGGGAAUUCAUUGCUGCAUUGAUCCGGAUCGCUUUUCCUGACUUGUCCUCCUUUCUGACUUAUUUAUUUGCAUGCUUUCCUUCUCUGUUUGCUUACUUAUCUUUCUGCAAAAAUGACUUAGUGAAGUCGGAAAGACUAAGUAAAGUAGUCGGUUAGGAAGUUGCAGAGGAUAAUCAAACAUAUAGCCUUGAGAAAAACUUUCUAAGUCAUGUAGUCAAUUUUUGCAGACGAACUUGGUCAGAUUGAAGUCGUAGUCAUAGAUUGUUCGCUGUAGAUUGUUCCGUUGAACCGGAACAUAGUCGACAUUUGGAGGAGCUUUUCGAAUCGUUGAUUCAUCGUUUGGAGCGGGACCUUGAUGACCAUCAGAGGUUGGGGCUAGGUUAAUCUCGACCUCAUGAGGUCGGAUUCGGUUCCUUCCCGAGGUGGAGGUAUUGUCCACUUUGGUGCCGCACGAGGUUUAGCCAUGCAUAAAUGGGAGCAGCAUUGCUAGCAUGGGGCCGCAUAAAUUUGCCCUUUGGAAAAGGAUGCCUCACUAAGGAGAAAUUGUCCCCUCUGGCUGUGCGCACAGGGGAUUAGCCAUGCGUAGAGCGAACAGCGUCUCGCUGCUGUAAGGGCCUUAGGGUUUUAUCAUGGUGGCUUAGGAAAUGGGUGGGGCAAACUGCAUGCAGCCCCAUUCCUAUACGAGAAAUUGUUUGCCUUGACAGUGUGGGCCUGGCCGCAUGUGGGGCCAUAGUUGCCAGCAUGGGUGCAGACCGCAUGUGUCUCAUGGCUUUGUUUCACCUAGGUCUCGUGUGCAAUAUGGUGCUACGGCCCUUGAGCCUUAGCAGGCACUCUUACGAUCGACGAAUCCAUCCAUGUUCAACUCGGUGUUGUGGCCUCUUAGGGCUGCAUUCGUGGUUGACAGACCCACCCCGACUUUGUCAAUCGGGUGUCAGCCGACCAAUGCUAUGUCAGGUAUUAGCCGAUGAGGGAAUGAUUAUCUUAUAAAAUUUUCGAGUCAUCUGCCUCCCGGAGUUUUGGAGCUUAGCCAUUUUGUAGGGGCCUCCUGGUGAGGUGGAUUUUUUUGAAUUUUUUCCUCGAAUUUGUCAAUCUUGUCAGAGUUUUUUCUCGAAUUUUUUUCUCGACUUUCGAAUGAAGUCAGCCUUCGGAUGACCUGAUGAGGUCGGCCUUCGGAUGAAGUCGACCUUCGAAUGACCUAAUGAGGUUGGCCUUCAGAUGAAGUCCACGUCGGCCUCCUCGUGAGGUCGGUCUUCUCAUGGAGCUUGUCGAGGAGAAGGAGACUAGCAAUCACUGGAGUCAAUACGUGGAGCGUGCUAGGAGUCAGGAUGUAGUGAUCGUUGGGCAGGUCGAGAACUCGUCCGACGGGAGCAUUCGAUCGAACGGUGGGUCGAAGAUCAGGUCCGACGAUAGUGUCGGGAAGGCAUAUUAUGCAGCGUUAUCUCCUCCGGCCAGUGCUACUGUUGCUGCUAGAGAUCAUAGACACCUUCGUCAGAUUUUUCACCUACUAUAUGAGAGCAGCGAACUACUGGUGGUUUGCUGUCAUCGGUGAUCGUGAAACGCUCGACCCUCCGUGAGUCGUCAGAGGUGCGUCACAUCAUGAUGAGCAUUGAGCAGAGUUUGUGGAGGUAUUUUGUGCUCUAGUCUUGACCAUAGAGGAUCUUGAGAGAGAAAAUUUUUUCUGCUUGAUUGCCCCCCUACCUGGCGCACCAUACGGCCUUUCUUCGCUUGGGGUAGCCGGCCUGGAGUCGACUAGGUGCUGCGUCUGGAUGCAGAUCGGUGGGAUGCUGGGAGAUGAUGUGCCAUCGUCAGAGAAGAUGCACAAUGUCAAGAUCGAAGGCGAGAGCGAGAGGUUGUUGAUGAACGAUGGUGCUGGACUUCAUUCGACAUCGAAAGAGAGAGACCUACAAAGAAAGUCCCACCAGAGGUGGCUUCGGUGAAGACCCUCCGAUGCUUAAGUUAGUAAGGUGACUCAAUAUAGUGGAAACAACAGUGGAGUUUAGGCAUUGUGUUGGCCAACAUAUCUGGAGGGGUCUCUGCUUACCUCUAUUUAUAGAGAGAGCAAAGUGGAUGGUGAGAGGAUAGGUAAUCAUGUCAAUCAUGUUCUGUCAGUCGUAUGGCGUCGUGUGGACGUUUUUAAAUGGCUCUGACAGUGGGCGUACCUUCUAUUCGGCACGUAGGUGGUCGUGGUGGCUGGCCUUAUCAUGCGUGCGGCAUAAUUAAUGGCAUUAUAACAUCCCAUCAUGAUGCAUAGCCAGUCGGUCAGGAUAUAGCGUCUGAGCGACGUGACCUGAUGUGGCCUAUCAGGAUGGUGGUUCGAUCGGUUGGCUGACGUCCAUGUCAGGAAGUCAAUUGAAGGAGCCCAUCAAGUGGUGUGAUCCAGUCAUCAGUUUGGAUAGUUGAUAAGGCAUCGAGAGAGAAGUCGGCCUUCUGAUGACUUCUGAUGAGGUCGGCCUCGGCCUCUUAUUGAAGUCGACCUUCGAAUGAUUUUUGAUGAAGUCGACCUCGAUCUCCUGAUGAAAUCAGCCUCGACCUCCCGAUGAAGUCAGCGUCCGAAUGAUUUCUGAUGAGGUCGGCCUUAGCCUCUUGAUGAAGUUGGUCUCUACCUUUAGAUGAAGUCGGC